AGACUGGUAAUGGAAUAUAUGAAGAACUAUUAAAACUCAACAGUAAAAAAUUAAUUCAACUAGAAACUGGACAAAAGACGUCAAAAGACAUUUCACCAAAGAGGAGAUACAAGUGGCAGAUAAGCACAUGAAAUGAUGUUAAACAUCAUUAGUCAUUCAGGAAAGGCAAAUUAAAACCACAUGAGAGAUCACUACACACCUGUCAGAAUGGCUGAGGUAAAAGAAGAAUGAUAAUAGCAAAUGAUGGUGAGGAUGUGGAGGAACUAGUUUUCCCCUCCAUUGCUGGUGGGAGUGGAAAAUGGCACAGCUACUCUGGAAAACAGUUUGGCAUGGUCUUAUCAAACCAAACUUGUAACUGCCACUCAACCAGCAAACUCAACUAGUAGGCAUUUAUCCCAGAGAAAUGAAAACUGUGUUCACACAAAAACCUAUUCACAGGUGUUCGUAGUACGUUUAUUUGAAAUAGCCAAAAACUAGAAACAAUCCAGAUGUUCUUCAGUGGAUGAAUGGUUAACACACAAACUGGGGCCCAUCCAUGCCAUGGAAUACUACUCAGUCAUACAAAGGACUGAACUACUGGUACAUACAGCAACCCAGAUGAAUCCCCAGAGAAUUAUGCUGAGUGAAAACAGCCAGUCCCAAAAGUGUGAAGAUGAGUCAACUGGGAAUUUAAAUGAGGCCUUCAGGGUGUGUGCCCUCUAGGCAGGCAUGAUGGAGAAGCUGAUAGAAUCCAUGGUACCAGCCUUCCAAGGUAGAAACAUCUCCAACAAUACUACGUUCAUGUUCAACUACUCGACCUUCAACACAUCCCACCAGGUCCUGGACCAGCUCUUUACUAGAUCCUGUUGGGAAGAGCUGACAUCUGCUGAACAAUACCGAGUCAACCUAUGAAGAAACAUGG